rnacentral:rRNA from 1 species
GUAGGGGGCAAGCGUUGUCCGGAAUUAUUGGGCGUAAAGCGCGCGCAGGCGGUCAUGUAAGUCUGGUGUUUAAUCCCGGGGCUCAACCCCGGAUCGCACUGGAAACUGUGUGACUUGAGUGCAGAAGAGGAGAGUGGAAUUCCACGUGUAGCGGUGAAAUGCGUAGAGAUGCGGAGGAACACCAGUGGCGAAGGCGACUCUCUGGGCUGUAACUGACGCUGAGGCGCGAAAGCGUGGGGGGGAGCAAACAGGAUUAGAUACCCUGGUAGUCCACGCCGUAAACGAUGAGUGCUAGGUGUUAGGGGGUUUCGAUACCCUUGGUGCCGAAGUUAACACAUUAAGCACUCCGCCUGGGAGUACGGUCGCAAGACUG